rnacentral:rRNA from 1 species
UACAGAGGGUGCAAGCGUUAACCGGAAUUACUGGGCGUAAAGCGCGCGUAGGCGGCUUUGCAAGCCGGAUGUGAAAUCCCCGGGCUUAACCUGGGAACUGCAUUCGGGACUGCAUUGCUAGAGUAUGGGAGAGGGAAGUGGAAUUUCAGGUGUAGCGGUGAAAUGCGUAGAUAUCUGAAGGAACAUCAGUGGCGAAAGCGACUUCCUGGACCAAUACUAACGCUCAUGGGCGAAAGCGUGGGGAGCAAACAGG